AAAAUUCAAUUUUAUUGAAAUAUAUACUAAAUAUAGAGGAAAUAAAUCAAGAUGAUUACAAAGAACAUCAAAUUAUGAAAUAGUCUUCACAAACGCUGCACUGAAUUCAGAACCCCCAACAUGGACACGCUCCCACAAAAGUUGGAAAUGCAUGUCACUAUCACAGAGGUAAUGAACCUCAUCGAUGCUCUGGUCCUCGCCGUCACCCAACACCAGUUAGCCGAUGCGGGAUAUGUUGUUCGGUUCAGGUGAUAAUCAUACCUGGAUCUUUCUAUCAGUCCCCUGAUCUGGAUUAUUUACAAGGAAUUGUGUCGGGAUAAUUGCUUUCAAUCUGAGACCCUUCUGCUGUAUAUCCUGACAAAUCUCUGCACCUAGCUGGGAAGCUGCCUCUUUCAUAGGGUACAGCAGUUAGUCUUAUUAAGCUGUGAGGGACGGCUCAGAGGGGUCGCCCUUAUCAGGGUGAGUGCUCCGCUACCUGGGCGUAAAGAGUAGCUCAGGUCAAGUAGGGGCAACUAGGGAAAGAGACCCAGCUCCCUGAUAUUGGGGACCCCCAGAAACCAUAGAUCUACUAAAUGUUAAGACCCUUCCCUAUUUUUUUUAUUGGGCACUGGCAAUUACUGCUCAUUUGUUUUCAUUUCUCUACCAUAUGGGCUUCAUUUUAAUCAAUGUAUUUAAAGUUAAGUAUUAUAGUUAGGGUCACCUUCCAUGUGUAUUUGUAAUGAACCCGUUACAAUUCAAAAAGUAUAGUGCAUUCCAGAGAGCUAGUACAGCUAGAUCAAAGAAUCUAGAGCACAGGUACUAUGCUAGACAGAAAUGACGAAGGAUAUGUAGGGAGGUACAGCACUGUGGAGAGUUUUGUGGGUAAGACUGGUAAGUUUGACUUGUAUUCUGUAGUCUAUGGGCAACCAGUAAAGUGACUUAGCUAGACAAGCUAGAGAAUAGAUUGAAGGAGAAAGUUUAGUGACUGGGAGACCGUAAUGAGUUGAGAUAGAAGACAAAAAUGAAAACAUUUCUGUUUCUAUUGUGAGAAAAGGGUGGAUUCUGGAGAUGUUCUUGAAGUACAGGUAACAUGAGCGUGCCAGUGACUGGAUACAGACAGCAAUGGAAACAUCUGAAUUAAACAUAACUCCAAGACUGUGCUGUCAUGCUGUCCAGGAGUUAUGGUAGUAACUAGCACUGAAAUUGAAAUAUGAGGUUUAGCUAAGUUAGUAGAUUGUGAAAAGAGAGGAAUUUCCAUUUUUGGGAGAUUUCGUUUCAGAUAAAUAGCAGACAUGAUGUUAGAGACAUCUGGCAGACAAUCACUGGUGUUUUACAGUAUUGCUGAGGUGAUGUUGUGAGAAAGUAUAUAGUUGGGUAUCAUCAGCAAAGAGAUGGUACUGAAAAAAUAAUCAGCCUAUAGUCUGUCUGAUAUUGACUGUAUAGAAAUAAGAGUGGAGCUUACUGAGGAGGAGUUAGUGAUUUACUGCAGAGAGAUUGCGAAGAAUCAGUACAGAGUAGUUGCCAUUACUUUUAGCUGUCAGGAGAUCAUCUUGACACGUGGUUAAGAAGCAGGAUAGCAGAGGUUGCUUGUUAGGUGAGAGUAGACCAAGAAUUCCAGGAGUUUAGAAGGAUGAUUUUUUUUUUAAGUAGUUUUUUUUGUAGAGCACAUUUAAAAGAGCAGGGAACAGUUCCAGAAGAAAGAGAGGGGAGAUGUUAAAGGGGGUAUCCAAGACUUUAACAGACUUCUGAGAGAGUGGUGAUCAUACUUACCUGGUUCCUGCCGCUGGGUUCGGUUGCCAUUGCUCUUCAGACUGCUGUUCAUCUCCCUGCUGGCUGAAAACAACAUCCCAUUGACAGGGGGGCACAUGACCAUGCCAGCUAAUCGCUGGCUGCAAUGGUGAUUUGCUCCCCUUGUGUCAAAGGUGAUUGGAGUGGUUACAUGCCUUCCUUCAACAGGAUGUUGAUUUCAGUGCAGCAGGGAGAAGAGCCAUGGUGUGAUGGAGACCAAACCCUGCAACGUCUGCAAGGUGAGUAUGAUCAACACCGUGGGUCGGCCACCGUGGGAGGUCUGUUAUAGUCUUGGAUAACCCCUUUAAAUAUUUUGGUUAGGUAACUAAUAACAGCUGGGCAGAGGGACUGAACCAGGGAAUAGAAUAGGAAUAGGAUCACUAUUGAAGGUAGUUGGGCAAGAAGAAGAGAGGAGCCUGGAGAUGACUUGAACUGUUAUAGGGCCAAAUGAGCAACAAAAGGAAGUGUGGGAGAGAGGGUGAUUGAUGGCAGUUGGGCACUGGGAGAUUAUUUCCUGUCAGAUGUUAUCAGUUUUAACUUUGAAAUAAGUGGCCAGGGCUUCAGCACAGACGUUAGUAAUGGGCAUGUUCAUUUUUGGGCUAAGUAUGGAGUGAAAAGUAUCAAAGAGUUGUUUUAAGAAUAAACGUAUAACGAAGAAAAUCUGCUGACAUACGUGAUUUUCUCCAUAAACGUUCAGCACACCUGAAGAAAAUGUGUUUCAGGUGUGUGCCAAGGCUGCUAUGGACUGUGUUGGGAAGGUCGGAAUGUAAUGAGAGCAGUAUCAUUCAGGGUGAUUUUGAGGGUAAGGUUGUGUUGAUUGGCAGCCAGAUCAGGACAAGAGAGAGUAAGAGAUUGGGGCCAGUGAUAAUUCUAGUGUCAGCAAAUUGCUGGGAUUUAUGGCAUGUAGGUUUCUAUAAGUGUGAAAGGUAUGAGAAGUCUUCAUAGUAAAUAAAGGAAGGUUGUGUCAAACGGGGAAAGACAAGUUGAUAAAUUCAUGAACUGUUGCUUUGUGGCAGAGGAAGUAAGUUGUAAGAGACCUAGAGAGGAGGUUAUAGAUAGAAUAUGAAAGGGAGAGGAGGAGAUUAGAACGUUAUUGGAGAUGCUAAAGUCAUCCAUAUUAAGGGUCUGUAAUUUUCAAGAUAGGGGUGUUAAAUUUACUCAUUAGUUAUUGAUAUUUGCUUUAAAAUUUCACUUGGUCGCAUUGCCGUGGCUUCACAAAGUGGCUCAGUGGUUAGUACUGUUGAUGACUGUUAUCCUGAGGUCCAAGUCCAAGGGCAAUAUCUGUAUGGAGUCUGUAUGUUUUUUCUUUGUAUUUUUAUAGUUUUUCUCCAGUUAUCCUGGUUUUCUCCCACCAAACAUAUAGAUCUGGCAAUUGGCUUCAUAUGAAAUUGGAGCUACUGUAGUGUGUAUGGGCCUGAGAUCCUUGCUGGGGACAGGGACUGAUGUAAAUUUUGACAAUCUGUAUGUUAUGUAUGAUAUCCUGUUUUAAUAAUUUACAAUUUUUGUGUACCUAAAUUGCUUAAUAUUCAA